rnacentral:lncRNA from 1 species
UGGACCCUGGCCUGGCCUCUGGACAGCAAGCCAGCAUGACUUGGUGGCCAUGAACUGUAGCAAAUAUAGCCAGUGGUCUGCCCUUGACUGCAGAGGUUGGUCCGGAGUAUCUCUUAGAGCUGUGGUCAUUGCUCCAAGGAAGCGCUUCCUCUGUUACUGGAGAAGAGAAAAAUAACAGCACAGACUGGAAAGGGAUACACCAUCAAGAUCAAAAGAGGGACCUGCAAGGCAGAGGACUCGAGGUGCCCAAUUGUCGUUUGUGCCUGCUUGCUUACAAGGUUCAGAAGAAGUGGCUAAGUAUCAGGGGCAGAGUCUGGCUAGUUCUCCACUUCGAUAGGUGAGGUAUUAUGUUGGUUUUUCUUAUAGCACAUAUCUCUUCUCAGAGCGCAUCUGAUUUCAGUCAUAUGCGUGCCCAAUUAUUUGUAGACAUAAGGUGUGGUAGGUAGGGGAUUCACCCUAAACAUUUCCUAAAGGACACAGUGUAAGUCUCAAAGCAGUUCACUUGGGCCAAAGGAUUCCUUCAUCCUUGCUAGCUUGCUCUCAUAGUGUAAGCCAGUUCUAUUCAGGCUGCUGUAAGGCAAAAGUGUCAAUAGUCUAAACGAGAUGUAAACUCUACAAACUGAUACUAGAAAGAGGUACCAUCUGUGAGGUGGUGUGGCAUUACUGUGAUGGGGAUAAUCAACUGCUCCCGGAUUGGACUGAAGGUUUGCUCUGUACAAUUGGUCCAAAACUGAUGGCUGAAGAAGUUUCAGGUCCUGGGAGCCAGGGAUGGGUGUGUGUCGGGGGGCGGGGGGGGGGGACCUAAGAUGGGUGCUUAGUAGAACCAAGCUAGCAUUAAAUCACCUGUUGACUAUCUGUGUUUGCCCACAGACAAAGGUUUCUCUCAUUCUUCCACAGAGAUGUUUCUCCUGGCAAUGAAGAGAUAAAUUCAAAGUCCCAUUAUGGUACAGGAUGCCAGAAAUAAAGAAGAGUUGAGCGUAGACAAGGCUUAGUCUUAGACAAAAUAUUUAUACAUCGUGUUAAGGCUCAAGAAACAUUGAGGGAGAAGUUAUGGAAAGAAUGUAAGAGCCGCAGGGGAGGGAGGUUGUAAAAUACCGUCUUCUGGGCAAGACAAGGCCGUGCCAACUACGAAUUUACAGCAGCGUGAAUCCUAAAACUGGGUUCAUAGAAGUUGGGACUUCCUAACAGUAACUACUAGAGAGGUGGGACCUCUAGGGCUUGUCAUUCACUUCUGAGUUAUUGGCAACAGCAGAUUCUGGGAGUGGGGAGGCAUAGUAUUCAAGAUGAGUGAGCCACCAGGCUGUCAUGGUUCCAAACUCAGGCUCAAACAGGCAGCCCCGGUCAAAUAUUAUGGGAAAGAGAUUUGUAAAGACUAAGUUCUUGUCGUGGUGGGAGGAGCUAGGAAAGAAUAAAGGGGGAGUACCCAGAAACCAUCGUCCACAAUUGUAAGAAAACAAACUUAACAAAGUUACUAACAAAAGCAAGAGAAAAACAAACAACCAAACAAACAAAACCAACCAACC